AAUGAACGCUGGCGGCGCGCCUAAUACAUGCAAGUCGAGCGAGAAGACGUAGCAAUACGUUUGUAAAGCGGCGAACGGGUGAGGAAUACAUGGGUAACCUACCCUCGAGUGGGGAAUAACUAGCCGAAAGGUUAGCUAAUACCGCGUACGCUUCUUGGACUUCGGUUCAGGGAGGAAAGCGAUGCCGAGGGUAUCGCGCUCUUGGAUGGGCUCAUGUCCUAUCAGCUUGNGGUGAGGUAACGGCUCACCAAGGCUUCGACGGGUAGCUGGUCUGAGAGGACGAUCAGCCACACUGGCACUGCGACACGGGCCAGACUCCUAUGGGAGGCAGCAGUAAGGAAUAUUGCGCAAUGGGCGAAAGCCUGACGCAGCGACGCCGCGUGGGGGAUGAAGGUCUUCGGAUU
rnacentral:rRNA from 1 species